rnacentral:snRNA from 1 species
GUGCUCACUUAGGCAGCACAUAUGCUAAAAUUGGAAUGAAACAGAGAAGAUUAGCACGGCCCCUGUGCACGGAAAACAUGCACAUUCAUGAAGCGUUCCAUAUUUUU